GAUAAUUAAUUUAUUUAUUAAUGAUUUAUAUUGAAUUACUCUAUAGUAAAUAAGACAUUUAGUGUACCGAAUAAUCUCUCUUUAAAUUUAAAGACAGAAAUUAGUAAAUUUAUUAAUGAUUUUUCGUGAUAAAUUUUUUAAUGAUUCUUCGCUAAUAUAGUAAAUUCUGCGCGAUUUCCGCGAUUUCUUCGUCAUUUCAGCAAAACAUAUAUUCUAGUGGCCAAUUUAGGAAUAUCAGCGACCCCUGAGUGCGUCGCGGGGUGAGUCGCCGCAUCGUCGUUCGAUAAAGUCUUCCGAUAAGUGAACCUUGAAGAAAAACGGCGAUGCCAAAACGGAGCAUCGGUUUUCGCGCGCGAAUAUGCUCUCGCGAUUCUCGCGUUUUACCAAAAUACAUACGUCGAAAAUGUGAUAUUAAAACCGGGUCGUCGCCGCGCGUUGUGAACGAAAAAAGUAACGCGAGUGCAAGUGUUUCGAAACUUCUACGAGGAGAAAAAAUAGUUGCGACGAGGAAUUCGGAGUACACCGAGACUGGAGAAGAAAAAUAAUCGAAAUAUAUACUUGCUCUGAAGAGCUUUAGGAGAAUUGGAAAGCUGUAAAUCUUAAAAGGCGAAGGAAAUCUGGGAGGGACAUCGGGCGCCAGCGGAGCAACCCUGGGAUAGCAACGUAGUUUUGUUAUUAACUCCGCUGCUGCGCAUCGGUUGGUGAGUGCUAAUUUUAUUAUUAGAUAGAUUUGUACAUAUUUGAUUGUAGAAACAUAGUGUAUAUUAUAGACUGUAAAUUAUAGACUAUAGAUUGUAGACUGUAGAUUGUAAUAGACUGUAUGUUGUAGAACCGUUAUCUCAAAAUAAAUUGCGGACGACAGAUUAAGAUAUUAUAAUUAUAAUAUAUAUGUAUAAUCAUCGUGCAAAGGAAACUUUAUUUGAUCAAAUUGUUGAGUUAAUUAUCAAACACGAUAAUAACGCGGUAAUUUUCAAAUCCCAUAU